GAUGAACGCUGGCGGCGUGCCUAAUACAUGCAAGUCGAGCGAACAGACGAGGAGCUUGCUCCUCUGACGUUAGCGGCGGACGGGUGAGUAACACGUGGAUAACCUACCUAUAAGACUGGGAUAACUUCGGGACACCGGAGCUAAUACCGGAUAAUAUAUUGAACCGCAUGGUUCAAUAGUGAAAGACGGUUUUGCUGUCACUUAUAGAUGGAUCCGCGCCGCAUUAGCUAGUUGGUAAGGUAACGGCUUACCAAGGCAACGAUGCGUAGCCGACCUGAGAGGGUGAUCGGCCACACGGGAACUGAGACACGGUCCAGACUCCUACGGUAGGCAGCAGUAGGGAAUCUUCCGCAAUGGGCGAAAGCCUGACGGAGCAACGCCGCGUGAGUGAUGAAGGUCUUCGGAUCGUAAAACUCUGUUAUUAGGGAAGAACAAAUGUGUAAGUAACUAUGCACGUCUUGACGGUACCUAAUCAGAAAGCCACGGCUAACUACGUG
rnacentral:rRNA from 1 species